CCUUUCAUCUGCUCUCCCUCAUAACCACUUUAACAGGAGUAAGGGGAGGUGCUGAUCUGCAAACAACAUUAUACGUAUCACAUUUGGUAGCAUUCACGGAUCAUGCAUGUGAACUUUACAAUACACACCCAACACUACAGAUUUUCAGAUUUCAUAAAAAUCAAUAAAGAUGGCAGCAUCACAAGUUCAGUGACUCACAUCAACCCACCUGUGGUUGUGAGGAGUUCCUAAGAAACCUGCAAUGUUAGGUGUACUUUAAGCACAUGACAAUGUCACGUUGUAUGAGACAAUUGUUUAAUCCCGUGAAGGUGAAUCACAUCAGUAAAUAUAGUUAGAAAGUGAGUGUGUGUUGAAGUAGAGACCUCUCCUUACAAUGUUUAGUUGUAGAAGGGAAAUAACCCAAGCCUGAAACUAUGACUCGGAAUGAAUGCAGGUACUAGCCAGAGUAUAGGGGCUUAAGGAACCCAGUAGUACAG